UGUUCCCAAUAGCAUGAUCGUCAAUCAAUUCUACAUAAUCAUCUCAUAAAAGUAACGAAUGAAGAGGUGAGUGACUCUCACAUUGUUCGAUUACAAUACAAUAACUUGUUAUAAGGUCUUUUGAAUAUGUCAUUAUGUUUCAAAUGAAGAUAAUAACUAAGCAAUGCUUCUUCAACACCAAAUACCCUCAUUGCCAUCUCAAGAAACUCUUCCCAUUAUAUAUACAGAAUUGAUUACAAAAUCAAUUGUAUUUCAUGAAAUUCUACCACAAAUAUUUGUAAAAAGUAAAAUAUCAUUCUUAAAUAAAAUUUUGACAUACCAUUCUCUUUAGUAACAAAUUAU
rnacentral:lncRNA from 1 species